GACGAACGCUGGCGGCGUGCUUAACACAUGCAAGUCGAACGGAAAGGCCUGCUUUCCCUUGUGGAUUGCGGGUACUCGAGUGGCGAACGGGUGAGUAACACGUGAGUGAUCUGCCCCCAACUUGGGUAUAAGCCUGGGAAACUGGGUCUAAUUCCCGAUAGGACUGCAGGGUGGUGCCUGUGGUGGAAAACGAUUUUCUAGUGGUUGGGGAUGAGCUCGCGGCCUAUCAGCUUGUUGGUGGGGUAAUGGCCUACCAAGGCGGCGACGGGUAGCCGGCCUGAGAGGGUGGACGGCCACAUUGGGACUGAGAUACGGCCCAGACUCCUACGGGAGGCAGCAGUGGGGAAUAUUGCACAAUGGGCGGAAGCCUGAGGCAGCGACGCAGCGUGGGGGAUGACGGCCUUCGGGUUGUAAACUCCUUUCGACCGCGAGGAAGCCACCUGGUUGGAAGGGUGGUGACGGUAGUGGUAGAAGAAGCACCGGCUAACUACGUG
rnacentral:rRNA from 1 species